GAAGGUCACGGCGAGACGAGCCGUUUAUCAUUACGAUAGGUGUCAAGUGGAAGUGCAGUGAUGUAUGCAGCUGAGGCAUCCUAACAGACCGGUAGACUUGAACCUUGUUCCUACAUGACCCGAUCCAUUCGAUCAGGCACUCGCCAUCUAUUUUCAUUGUUCAACUCUUUGACAACACGAAAAACCAUUGUUCCACUCUUUGACAACAUGAAAAAACCAAAGGCCUCUGCCCUGCCCUCCCUUGGAUAGAUAGAGAGGGAUGGAAGGGCAG
rnacentral:rRNA from 1 species